GACGAACGCUGGCGGCGCGCCUAACACAUGCAAGUCGAACGAGCGAGAGAGAGCUUGCUUUCUCAAGCGAGUGGCGAACGGGUGAGUAACGCGUGAGGAACCUGCCUCAAAGAGGGGGACAACAGUUGGAAACGACUGCUAAUACCGCAUAAGCCCACAGGUCGGCAUCGACCAGAGGAAAAAGAAGCAAUCCGCUUUGAGAUGGCCUCGCGUCCGAUUAGCUAGUUGGUGAGGUAACGGCCCACCAAGGCAACGAUCGGUAGCCGGACUGAGGGGUUGAACGGCCACAUUGGGACUGAGACACGGCCCAGACUCCUACGGGAGGCAGCAGUGGGGAAUAUUGCACAAUGGGGGAAACCCUGAUGCAGCGACGCCGCGUGGAGGAAGAAGGUCUUCGGAUUGUAAACUCCUGUUGUUGAGGAAGAUAAUGACGGUACUCAACAAGGAAGUGACGGCUAACUACGUG
rnacentral:rRNA from 1 species